rnacentral:rRNA from 1 species
UUGCACCAGAAGUAGCUAGUCUAACCUUCGGGAGGACGGUUACCACGGUGUGAUUCAUGACUGGGGUGAAGUCGUAACAAGGUAGCCGUAGGGGAACCUGCGGCUGGAUCACCUCCUUAAU